UACAGAGGGUGCUAGCGUUGUUCGGAAUCAUUGGGCGUAAAGAGCGUGUAGGCGGCCAGGUAGGUCUGCUGUGAAAACUCGAGGCUUAACCUCGAGCUGUCGGCGGAAACCAUCUGGCUAGAGUCCGGAAGAGGAGAGUGGAAUUCCUGUGUAGCGGUGAAAUGCGCAGAUAUCAGGAAGAACACCUAUGGCGAAGGCAGCUCUCUGGGACGGUACUGACGCUGAGACGCGAAAGCGUGGGGAGCGAACAGG
rnacentral:rRNA from 1 species